AGCGGCGGACGGGUGAGUAAUGCUUAGGAAUCUGCCUAUUAGUGGGGGACAACAUUCCGAAAGGRAUGCUAAUACCGCAUACGCCCUACGGGGGAAAGCAGGGGAUCUUCGGACCUUGCGCUAAUAGAUGAGCCUAAGUCAGAUUAGCUAGUUGGUGGGGUAAAGGCCUACCAAGGCGACGAUCUGUAGCGGGUCUGAGAGGAUGAUCCGCCACACUGGGACUGAGACACGGCCCAGACUCCUACGGGAGGCAGCAGUGGGGAAUAUUGGACAAUGGGCGMAAGCCUGAUCCAGCCAUGCCGCGUGUGUGAAGAAGGCCUUUUGGUUGUAAAGCACUUUAAGCGAGGAGGAGGCUACUUGGAUUAAUACUCUAGGAUAGUGGACGUUACUCGCAGAAUAAGCACCGGCUAACUCUGUGCCAGCAGCCGCGGUAAUACAGAGGGUGCGAGCGUUAAUCGGAUUUACUGGGCGUAAAGCGUGCGUAGGCGGCUUYUUAAGUCGGAUGUGAAAUCCCUGAGCUUAACUUAGGAAUUGCAUUCGAUACUGGGAAGCUAGAGUAUGGGAGAGGAUGGUAGAAUUCCAGGUGUAGCGGUGAAAUGCGUAGAGAUCUGGAGGAAUACCGAUGGCGAAGGCAGCCAUCUGGCCUAAUACUGACGCUGAGGUACGAAAGCAUGGGGAGCAAACAGGAUUAGAUACCCUGGUAGUCCAUGCCGUAAACGAUGUCUACUAGCCGUUGGGGCCUUUGAGGCUUUAGUGGCGCAGCUAACGCGAUAAGUAGACCGCCUGGGGGAGUACGGUCGCAAGACUAAAACUCAAAUGAAUUGACGGGGGCCCGCACAAGCGGUGGAGCAUGUGGUUUAAUUCGAUGCAACGCGAAGAACCUUACCUGGU
rnacentral:rRNA from 1 species